UUCACUCCGCCCCUCUGCUGCGUGGGUUGUCACCCCCACCCAGGCACAGAUCCUCUGCCCCACCGAGCGCCCACUCCGCCAACGCCCCCACCCCGCCCUCCAGCCACCACAGCAGCCGCCACGCGUGACAUUCAGGGCCGUGACCACAGCGAUUAAAUGAGGUUCCCGUCAGUAUUCGUAGGGAGGAGAAGUCAGACCUCUGCUGGCGGUCCCGCGUCCCAUAAGAAUGAGUCCUCCCGCGCAGACAGCUGCAACUAUUGCAAAGAUUCACUAAAUAUUGAAUACCUCAGAACCGUGGACUGGAGAAGCAAGAAAAACAUGCCAGGCACCGCUUGGAAACGACACUGCAUGAGGCAGUUCUGCCGAGAUUUUCUCUCUCAUCUGACCGUUAGUGAGUCUCCCUUCUCAUUUAUCUGAAAGCUCAGUGGGUAUUAAUAUUCUGGCUGUUUUGGAGGAAGCCUGAGGUUCUCAAUCAAGAGGGAAAGCUCGGUUGGGGCUAUUACAAAAAGUUGUGAUCAACGUUGAUGUGCAAGCCUUUGUAUGGACAUAGGCUUUCUCUUCUCUUGGAUAAAUACCUAAGAGUGGAGAGGCUGAGUAAUGUGGCUAAUUAUGGAUCUGGUAGGCUUUCUUGGAUUAUUCAGACAAGGGCAACAAUCCAGAACAGCACUAUGCCAAGAGAGAGGAGCAUACACAUCUCUGAUUUUAUGGAACAGAUCCUUGGUACCAGCGUGGAUAUUUGUGUGUAGAGAAAAAUAAGCUUUUUUCUUGUUUUGGACUAUGUAUCUUCAUUGGACCUGCAGUGAUGUCUAUGUCCUAACUGAUAUAGUGGCCAUUAAUAUGCUUCCUAUUGUUGAUUAAAUAUUGGGGUAAUAGUGAAAAUGGGAAUAUAAUCAAAUUAUAGCCAUUGGUCGUAAGUUGUAAUCAGCGUGUUCAGUGAACAAAUGAAUAACAUGUAUAAUAUUCAGCUUUAUCAUAUGCUUAAAGUGAGAGGGAGGGCCUCAACUUUAAUAAGAAAUGUUAUAUUAUACAUUUCAAUUUCUUUUAAAGAAUGCCAGUAAAGACUCUUUUUAUGAUUUCAAGCAGUUCGCUAAAGUACCAUGUAUUAUAGUCUACUAGGUUUGGUUAAUAGCCUGUUUCUAGCACUUCGGCACCAAAAAUAACUUGAUUUUUUAAUGUUGAAGAGGGAAAAAAAGAGAAUAUCUUGAGAAAACCAAAUUAGUACAAACAGCUCUAUCACUGUGCGUAUGACUCUUUUCAAACAGCAAAUAUUCAAUUUUCCUCCAUCUAUAGAGGGAAAAAAUAAUGACAUCAUAUUGGGCGCAUUAUAAAACCACAUACAUAUGCUGUCACAGAAGUAGGAAUGCUUUCCAGAAUAUAAUACAACCAAAGAAUGGAAACCAUUUGCACCAAAAUCCAAACUCAAAGUAUACAACAGUCUAGCUUUUGAGUGUGGUAUGUUCAUUGAUUUACUCUUUGACAGAACACUGAAAAUAGUCUUCAGUUGAAAAUUUCUCCAUAAUUUAAAUCCAGUUAUCUAGAACCAUUUGUCAAAGCCGUAAAAGACUUUCUGCCAGUUCUGAUGACCCAUAAUUAUGAGUUAGAAUUUUCUUAUCUAGUAGAAUGAAGAGGAAAAAAUAAAACUGCCUGGACAUGGAACCUGAUCUAACACUUGUAUUUCAAAAGUUAAAAAAAUAAAUUACUUCUUUUCUCUAGAUUUUUACAUUCUCAGAUUCCUUAGGAUCGAGAUUCUUAACUGGAGUCCAUGAGUGAAUUUAUGAGUUCACGAGUCCAAUUUAAUGAGAGUCAAAAAUUUGAAGAUACAGUUCCACAGCUUUCAUCAGAUGCACAUAAGCAUCUCUGACCUCAAAACAGAUUAAGAGCUCAUAAGGUAUUGAAUGAAAGAUACUAAAUAAGAGUUGACUAUAACCUGGCUCUACUGCAUUAGAAGAUUAAGGCAACUUAAUCUUUUGAAAUGACAAAAGCACAUCUGUUGCAACAGUCCAUGGUUUUCGAAACCUGUUAUUUUACUGAGAGUGUCCAAAGCCUCGCUUGCAGAGGCUGCUUAAUGGAGAGGAUAACUCAGGACUAGACUAAGAGUUUGAUGUUUACUGCAUUAGUUUCAAAGUCCAGCUGUAAAUAUACUAUAGUUGAGAGAUGGAGCAAUAUAAUCUUUUCAAGCCUGAAAAAAUAGUGAUGCACAGCCAAAUACUUUGAGCUGUUUGCUUGUUUAAGAAGAAAUCUAUUUCAAGAUUUGAUUACCACUAACUCAGACAACGUUUUCAUCACUAAGUCCUUUCGAUUCCAUAUCAUGUGUUUCAAAUUUGGUCUGCAUAACUUAUUUUUGUUCUAUUUUUCUGUCAAAAACAUUGUGGAAAUCCCAGGUUAUAUAAUUGAGGUCUUGGAGAGGCAAUAUACAUCUAGCCAACCAAAAUAAAAUGAAAGCUAUUAUCAUGAAACAUGCUUAAGGAAGUCUAUCCUUUGUUCUGUUAAGAGUGCCAACAUUUGUGAUCUUAGAAUGCAGUCAAAGGAAACUAAAAUGGGUUUUCCUUAAUGCAACCAUGUGCAAAACCACUCUUUACCAUAACAGAUGAUCUGUAAAAAUAUUUGUGCAUUUUUAAGUACCCAUGAGAAGAAAUCCAUUUUCAGUAAAAUAAUAAUGCAAUAUUUUUAUAAUAUACCCUAGAAACUGAAAUCAUUCUAUCCAUUUUUUUUAUUUGGGUUCCUUAGCAUCCCCAUUAGACAAAAAGGAAAGAGAAAGACCCUGCAGACCCUCUCUAUUACAGGGCAGACAUUGUAAUGCUCAUUUCUUUCUUCCUCCUUCUUUGUAUUAGGUUGAUCAUGCAAUUCAAUUGAGUUACAGUUAGAAGGAUAUGUUGCAUGGCUUUGAUCUAAUGUCUCUCUUUUCUGUAGGUUUUUAAAUUUACAUAUGAGGAUGUUCAAGGAAGAGGCAGUCGCCAAUGUGCGGUUAUGAAGGUAGCAGUAGUCGAUGAGGAGAUGGUCGGGUUGCCAAUACCUGGGCAUUUAAAUUUCUUUGUGGAGUGGCCAAGAGGGGAGCUGGCCACCUGAUAGGAUAAGAAAAGCAUUCCCAGGUGGGGUAGCAGUGCAGAAAGGCUGACCAUUACUGGACUGACUAUUUCUAUGGAAUUCCCACAAAAAAUGCUUAAUAAAGAGAAAAUAAACAGCAUAUGGAUUCUAGCUGAGGCUUCAUGAAAACAUCCAGGGAAAAAAAGAACCAAGGGCAGUCUUCCCAAUGUACAUGAAAGAAGUAAAAUAUUUUCUUAAAUUUGUCUAUCAGUGUCAACAUUUUGGAUGAAAUAUGCUGUAGAAGAAAGAUUAGCUCCAGUUUGCUCAGAAAGAAUUUUCCCUGCAAAUAAUCCCGUGUUUUUAAUAUGUCAGGUUUACCUUGUCAGUCAGUUCUAUAUGAUAAUUUUCAAUAUGAUUUUUUUACUCAUGAAUUAUUUAGAUAUAGGUUUUAAAAUUUCUGAAUUUAUCAGUUUCCUGACUAUGUUUAGCUAUUGAUAGCAUUUGCAAUUUUAUUGCAUUGUUUUUUGUUGAGCUGUAUUUGUGGUCAAGUAUAAGAUCAAUUUGUGAAGAUAUUCAAUGUGUGCUUGAAAUUAAUAUGUAUUUAUUUAUUUCUAGGACUACAUACAUAUAGAGUGUAUAUGUAUACAUUACAUACACAUAUAUAUAUAUAUAUUAUGUCAAGUUUAAUAAUUUUCUUAACUCUUACUAAAAUUCGAUUUGCUCAAUCCGUCUUUGAGAAAGGUGCUAAAAUUUUUUCACCAUGAUCUAUCAUUGUAGAUUGUUAAUUUCUCCCUUAUAUUUCUGCUUACUUUUUUGAUGCAUGAAUUUUGAGGCUAUGUUUUAGGUGGAUACAGUAUCAGAAUAAUUGUUUCCCAGGUGAAUUUAUCAUUAAGUAAAUCCUUAAUAAUGCUUUUUUGCCUUAAGUCUGUUUAGUAUAUUUCAGCUUUCCUUUGUUCAAUAUUUAUCUGGUAUUGUAAUCAUCACUGUCCAACCACGAUCCAUUUAUCCCUCUUAAUAAAAACUCAGUUUUGUGCAGGUA